ensembl:ncRNA T10A3.3 ncRNA
AAGAAAAUCAACAAUUGAUGGAAAGAAAUGACAUAAUGAUUCGCACACACCGUGCGCCACGUGGAAGAAGUGAAAACACGGCGGAAACAAAACGUGCGGUAACGUAUCAUCAAAUAUUACCAGCGAAGAAACGUUUGCAGAUUCAAGCAC